rnacentral:rRNA from 1 species
UACGUAGGGACCAAGCGUUGUCCGGAAUUAUUGGGCGUAAAGAGCUCGUAGGCGGUCUGUCACGUCUGCCGUGAAAACCCGAGGCUUAACCUCGUGGCUUGCGGUGGAUACGGGCAGACUAGAGGUAGGUAGGGGAGAACGGAAUUCCCGGUGUAGCGGUGAAAUGCGCAGAUAUCGGGAGGAACACCGGUGGCGAAGGCGGUUCUCUGGGCCUUACCUGACGCUGAGGAGCGAAAGCAUGGGGAGCGAACAGG